rnacentral:rRNA from 2 species
UACGUAGGGUGCGAGCGUUAAUCGGAAUUACUGGGCGUAAAGGGUGCGCAGGCGGUCUCGUAAGCUGGGUGUGAAAGCCCCGGGCUUAACCUGGGAAUGGCAUUCAGGACUGCGAGGCUUUGAGUGUGGCAGAGGGAGGUGGAAUUCCACGUGUAGCAGUGAAAUGCGUAGAGAUGUGGAGGAACACCGAUGGCGAAGGCAGCCUCCUGGGCCAGCACUGACGCUCAUGCACGAAAGCGUGGGGAGCAAACAGG